rnacentral:rRNA from 1 species
AUUUUAUUGUAUUGCUUUUAAUAUUAUGUGAUUAUUUAUUGAAAACCUAAUAUGAAAUUAAGAAAGUAGUUAUUAACAAAAUUUAAAUCUGAGCUAUAGAUAAUAAGUACUGAAUAGGAAAUAAUAUAAUAUAUUUUAAAACAAUUAAGUAAAUUUUAAUUAUUGUACCUUGUGUAUCAGGGGUGACUAAAUUAUAGCAUAUAUAAUAUGUAGUUCCCGAAUUAAAGAUAGCUAAUAUUUUAAACAAGUUUUUGUAACAAAAAAAUUCGUAAUAUAAUAUUAAAGAUGAAACGUUAAACGAGCUUUAAACUAUCUGGUUCUCUAGGAAUUAAAUUCAAUUUUAUUAUUAAAUUUAAUUUAUUUAAUAGUGAAGGGUAGGAGGGACAAGCUUCUUACCACUAAGAAAAUCGGUUUAUAGAGGAAAUAAAGCAUAACUUUUCUAGGCUUAAAAGUAGCCAUGAUUAUAAAGUGUUUCAACUUAGGUUGAAGUUUAAGUUAUUUAUUUUAUCUUUAUGAGUACUAGAGUGUUAAUUAAGACUAUAAUAAUUAGGAAAAAAUGGUUAUAUGAGUAAAUAUGUAUUUAUAGAAAUAAGAGUAUUUUAAAUAGAUUGAGUAAGUUAUAAGAGAUGCAGUAAAUAAAAAAGGAACUCGGCAAAGUAUUCUUCUUGCCUGUUUAUCAAAAACAUGGCUAUUAUGAAAAUGUUUAUAGUCUAGCCUGCUCACUGAUGUAAAUAUUAAAUAGCCGCGGUAUCUUGACCGUGCAAAGGUAGCAUAAUCAUUAGUUUUUUAAUUGAAAACUCGUAUGAAUGGUUGGACAAAGAAGAAACUGUCUCUUUUGUUAAAAUUGAAUUUAACUUUUAAGUGAAAAGGCUUAAAUUUUUCAAAGGGACGAUAAGACCCUAUAAAGCUUUAUAAGUUUAAGAAUUUUGUAUAUUUUUCAAUAGUAACGAUUUUUUAAAAACUUAUUUGGUUGGGGCGACAAUAGUAUAAUUAGAGUAACUGCUUUCAAAUAAAACAGAAAUAUUUGAUAACAAUUAGUUGAUCCUUCGUAGAGAUUUUAAGAUCAAGUUACUUUAGGGAUAACAGCGUUAUUUUUCCUGAGAGUUCUUAUCAAAGGAAAAGUUUGCGACCUCGAUGUUGAAUUAAAAUGUCUUUAUAGUGCAGCAGCUAUAAAAGAAGGUCUGUUCGACCUUUAAUAUUUUACAUGAUUUGAGUUCAGACCGGCGAGAGCCAGGUCGGUUUCUAUCUUUUGGAGAGAAAUUAUUUACCUUAGUACGAAAGGAUUAGGUAAAUAAAAAGGUUUUGAUAAUUGAAAU